GGAUUUGUCAGUUGGUCGGGCUUCACUGUCCGUACUGAUUCGAUGGAUUCUUACCUUCUGAAUAACCAGCAUGCUAUUAAGUUAGUGCGUUGGGGAAGCAGAUCUAUUACCUUGAAAAAAUUAGAGUGCUUAAAGCGGGCUAGUGCUUGAAUAGAUUAGCAUGGAAUAAUAAAAUAGGACGGCAUGGUUCUAUUUUGUUGGUUUCUAGGAUCACCGUA
rnacentral:rRNA from 1 species